AUAACCGUGUAUUUGCCAGGACUGGUAUACCGGUGAUUGGGGUUAAAAGCAUACGGUACCGAUGGACUGCCGUCGCCGAAAUUCCACCAGCAGGAGUCGGCCUGCAUACCGCCCUGCGCCGUUAAUUCCCUGAAGUGGACGA
rnacentral:misc_RNA from 1 species